GACAGAGGGUGCAAACGUUGUUCGGAAUUACUGGGCGUAAAGCGCGUGUAGGCGGCUCCGCAAGUCGGGUGUGAAAGCCCUGGGCUCAACCCAGGAAGUGCACUCGAAACUGCGAGGCUAGAGUACUGGAGAGGUUGGUGGAAUUCUCGGUGUAGAGGUGAAAUUCGUAGAUAUCGAGAGGAACACCGGUGGCGAAGGCGGCCAACUGGACAGAUACUGACGCUGAGACUCGAAAGCGUGGGGAGCAAACAGG
rnacentral:rRNA from 1 species